UGGGGAAUAUUGGACAAUGGGCGCAAGCCUGAUCCAGCCAUGCCGCGUGAGUGAUGAAGGCCCUAGGGUUGUAAAGCUCUUUCACCGGUGAAGAUAAUGACGGUAACCGGAGAAGAAGCCCCGGCUAACUUCGUGCCAGCAGCCGCGGUAAUACGAAGGGGGCUAGCGUUGUUCGGAUUUACUGGGCGUAAAGCGCACGUAGGCGGACUUUUAAGACAGGGGUGAAAUCCCGGGGCUCAACCCCGGAACUGCCUUUGAUACUGGAGGUCUUGAGUAUGGUAGAGGUGAGUGGAAUUCCGAGUGUAGAGGUGAAAUUCGUAGAUAUUCGGAGGAACACCAGUGGCGAAGGCGGCUCACUGGACCAUUACUGACGCUGAGGUGCGAAAGCGUGGGGAGCAAACAGG
rnacentral:rRNA from 1 species